CUCACACGCGGGACCCGAGCUCUGGAGGAGUAAAUCAUCCCCACUUUAAAGGCACCCUCUGCCAGGGCUUCAGUUAGGAACUCCUUGUAUUGCUCUAAACGCAUCCUAGUGGCUCCUGCCCCCCUCAACAUGCCUGGAUCCCUAAGAUCAGUGAGGUUUCCAGACUUCCUCCGUCUUUUUGUCCUGCACGAGAACGCUUUGCUGGGUGCGCAAGUGUGCGUGUGAGGAGCGGAGAGGAGCGCCGGGAGGCUGCUGUGUCAAACACAGUUUCAGAGACGAAAGCGAGAAGGCUGUGCAUGGGAUGUAGCGAAGGGGGUGAUCCUGAGACUCUUCCCGGCCCCCUUGCUCAGAGAUCUCCUCUUGGGUUGCAGAAACUGGCGGAAUGUUGUCCCGGUGCCCGAGUCAGGUCACACAAAGGAGAUUGGGACAAUAGCUGGAGUGGAUUACUCAUUCCCGUAGGCAAUACUUCCCUGUAUGGGCUUCAGGAUGCAGUUGGAAGCUUGGGAACAAAGCGGGCAUCGAAUGUCAAGGAAGAUUAAUUUCAUCUCUCCUAUCCUGGGCCCAUUUUCUGUCAGUGAAGGGAUAUAAUAAUGAUCAAUGCCCAGUACUUCUCAUAUCUUUUGUACUUGGAUCCUUUCGAGAAAGAAAUAGUUCUGCUAAGACUCCAUACUUUGGAGGGCACGGCACAGUGGUCUGAUAUGAAAGCACUGUCCCUGCAGAUGGAAACUCUCCUCUGUAUCCUGUGCCUUGCAAGAGAGGCAGCGAAGGGACACGUGAAGUAACCAAGCAUCUGGCAUCAAGCCUGACAAUCCACUUCACACUAUGUGAAGGAAAGUUUGUUCCAAACCACAUACUUUGUGGUGCUCAAUACUAGUGUCAAACUGGUUUGAACUGUCCCAGGUUUAAAAUAAAGAUCUCCAUUAUGGUA